rnacentral:rRNA from 1 species
CCUACGGGAGGCAGCAGUGGGGAAUAUUGCACAAUGGGGGAAACCCUGAUGCAGCGACGCCGCGUGAGUGAAGAAGUAUCUCGGUACGUAAAGCUCUAUCAGCAGGGAAGAAAAUGACGGUACCUGACUAAGAAGACCCGGCUAACUACGUGCCAGCAGCCGCGGUAAUACGUAGGGGGCAAGCGUUAGCCGGAUUUACUGGGUGUAAAGGGAGCGGAAAUGGCAGUACAAGACUGGGUGGAAAUCCCCGGGCUUAACCCCGGAACUGCUUUGGAAACUGUGCGGCUGGAGUUAAGGAGGGGUAAGCGGAAUUCCUAGUGUAGCGGUGAAAUGCGUAGAUAUUAGGAGGAACACCAGUGGCGAAGGCAGCUUACUGGACUUUAACUGACGUUGAGGCUCGAAAGCGUGGGGAGCAAACAGGAUUAGAUACCCCUGUAGUC